GCAAAAAGAGCCUCAGCAGAGUUAAGACAGAACAUGGGUUUCCUGACUCCUGUUUUUUGCCUUCUGCUGCUCUGGUGCCCAGCCACCAGUGGGAGCGUUGCCCUGACACAGUCCCCAGCCUUCCUGAGUGUGACUCCAGGUGAGAGUGUCUCCAUCAGCUGCAGGGCCAGUGCCAGUAUUAGUGAUGAUUUAAACUGGUAUCAGAAGAAACCAGGCGAGUCUCCUAAAAUUCUCAUUAAUGAUGCUAAUAACCGAUAUGCCGGUGUCUCUGAUCGCUUCAUUGGCAUAUACAGUGGGACAGAAUUCACUUUUAAAAUCAGCAGGGUAGAAGCUGGAGACGCUGGCACCUAUUACUGUCAGCAAGACUAUGCACUCCCUAUCACAGUGUUACAGCCCUGUACAUAAACCAGCUGCCCUGGC